rnacentral:misc_RNA from 1 species
UUUCCGUAGGUGAACCUGCGGAAGGAUCAUUAUCACGUAUCCACGUAUAAACCACUGCGAACUGUUUCCCUUUGGAGGUUCUGGGUUUGGCUUGAUCAAUCUUUCCAACGUCGUGAUGGGAAAGCGGUCUAUGCCGUGAGGUUAGUGGGCAACCACUGCUUCCACCUGAAUCUUUGAAGCGGUUAUUCAUCACGUCUACCAUUUAACUAUUAACCCCUUUAAACUUUUUGAACUGAAACUUAAGCGUGAUGUAAAGUCUGCCUUCGGGCUCACUUGAUCAUGUCUUUACUUACGAAACUACGAACAAUUCUUAACAACGGAUAUCUUGGCUCUG